ACGGGUGAGUAACACGUGGGAACGAACCCUUUGGUUCGGAAUAACGCUGGGAAACUAGCGCUAAUACCGGAUACGCCCUUUUGGGGAAAGGCUUGCUGCCGAAGGAUCGGCCCGCGUCUGAUUAGCUAGUUGGUGGGGUAAUGGCCUACCAAGGCGACGAUCAGUAGCUGGUCUGAGAGGAUGAUCAGCCACACUGGGACUGAGACACGGCCCAGACUCCUACGGGAGGCAGCAGUGGGGAAUAUUGGACAAUGGGCGCAAGCCUGAUCCAGCCAUGCCGCGUGAGUGAUGAAGGCCUUAGGGUUGUAAAGCUCUUUUGUCCGGGACGAUAAUGACGGUACCGGAAGAAUAAGCCCCGGCUAACUUCGUGCCAGCAGCCGCGGUAAUACGAAGGGGGCUAGCGUUGCUCGGAAUCACUGGGCGUAAAGGGCGCGUAGGCGGCCAUUCAAGUCGGGGGUGAAAGCCUGUGGCUCAACCACAGAAUUGCCUUCGAUACUGUUUGGCUUGAGUUUGGUAGAGGUUGGUGGAACUGCGAGUGUAGAGGUGAAAUUCGUAGA
rnacentral:rRNA from 1 species